CUUUCAACAACGGAUCUCUUGGUUCCAGCAUCGAUGAAGAACGCAGCGAAAUGCGAUAAGUAAUGUGAAUUGCAGAAUUCAGUGAAUCAUCGAAUCUUUGAACGCACAUUGCGCCCCUCGGUAUUCCGGGGGGCAUGCCU
rnacentral:rRNA from 4 species